UGAAGGGUUGACUUCCAACCCAAGAAAGGAAAUUCACUAUUAAUAGCUUAGUACAAUUAGUGUUACAAGCAACAACAAGCCCUAUGUUUUUUAGUGCCUCUUCAUAAUAAUACCCAAUGACUUUCUAUUUAGAACUCCCCCUAAAUAUGAUAACUUUUCUCACUUUAUCUCAAUCACUAAACCCUAGUGAUUGGUGUUUAACUCAAUUAUCACUGUUGAAUAUUACAACUCAACUAGAAAA
rnacentral:lncRNA from 1 species